UACAGAGGUCUCAAGCGUUGUUCGGAUUCAUUGGGCGUAAAGGGUGUGUAGGUGGCGCCGUAAGUCGGGUGUGAAAUCCCGGGGCUCAACCUCGGAAUGGCAUUCAAUACUGCUUCGCUAGAGUACUGGAGAGGAGGCUGGAAUUUACGGUGUAGCAGUGAAAUGCGUAGAUAUCGUAAGGAAGACCAGUGGCGAAGGCGGGUCUCUGGACAGUUCCUGACGCUGAGGCACGAAGCCAGGGGAGCAAACGGG
rnacentral:rRNA from 1 species